rnacentral:rRNA from 1 species
ACGAACGCUGGCGGCAGGCUUAACACAUGCAAGUCGAACGAUGUAGCAAUACAUAGUGGCGCACGGGUGAGUAACGCGUGGGAACGUGCCCUUUGGUACGGAAUAACAGUUGGAAACGACUGCUAAUACCGUAUACGCCCUUCGGGGGAAAGAUUUAUCGCCAAAGGAUCGGCCCGCGUCAGAUUAGCUAGUUGGUGAGGUAAUGGCUCACCAAGGCUCCGAUCUGUAGCUGUUCUGAGAGGAAGAUCAGCCACACUGGAACUGAGACACGGUCCAGACUCCUACGGGAGGCAGCAGUGGGGAAUAUUGGACAAUGGGGGAAACCCUGAUCCAGCCAUGCCGCGUGAGUGAUGAAGGCCUUAGGGUUGUAAAGCUCUUUUGGCGGGGAAGAUGAUGACGGUACCCGCAGAAUAAGCACCGGCUAACUUCGU